GACGAACGCUGGCGGCGUGCUUAACACAUGCAAGUCGAACGGAAAGGCCCUGCUUUUGUGGGGUGCUCGAGUGGCGAACGGGUGAGUAACAAGUGAGUAACCUGCCCUUGACUUUGGGAUAACUUCAGGAAACUGGGGCUAAUACCGGAUAGGAGCUCCUGCUGCAUGGUGGGGGUUGGAAAGUUUCGGCGGUUGGGGAUGGACUCGCGGCUUAUCAGCUUGUUGGUGGGGUAGUGGCUUACCAAGGCUUUGCCGGGUAGCCGGCCUGAGAGGGUGACCGGCCACAUUGGGACUGAGAUACGGCCCAGACUCCUACGGGAGGCAGCAGUGGGGAAUAUUGCACAAUGGGCGGAAGCCUGAUGCAGCAACGCCGCGUGCGGGAUGACGGCCUUCGGGUUGUAAACCGCUUUCGCCUGUGACGAAGCGUGAGUGACGGUAAUGGGUAAAGAAGCACCGGCUAACUACGUG
rnacentral:rRNA from 1 species